GCCAGGGUAGCUCAGCGGUAGAGCAGCGGCCCGAUAAGCCGUUGGUCGAAGGUUCAAAUCCUUCUCCUGGUACCA
rnacentral:tRNA from 1 species